GGGGCAUUAGCUCAGCUGGGAGAGCGUUACACUGGCAGUGUAAAGGUCAGCAGUUCGAUCCUGCUAUGCUCCACCA
rnacentral:tRNA from 1 species